GAUGAACGCUGGCGGCGUGCCUAAUACAUGCAAGUCGAGCGAACAGACGAGGAGCUUGCUCCUCUGACGAUAGCGGCGGACGGGUGAGUAACAUGUGGAUAACCUACCUAUCAGACUGGGAUAACUUCGGGAAACCGGAGCUAAUACCGGAUAAUAUAUUGAAGCGCAUGGUUCAAUAGUGAAAGACGGUUUUGCUGUCACUUCUAGAUGGAUCCGCGCCGCAUUAGCUAGUUGGUACGGUAACGGCUUACCAAGGCAACGAUGCGUAGCCGACCUGAGAGAUUGAUCGGCCACACUGGAACUUCAACACGGUCCAGACUCCUACGGGACGCAGCAGUAGGGAAUCUUCCGCAAUGGUCGAAAACCUGGCGGAGCGACGCCACGUGUGUGAUGAAGGUCUUCGGAUCGUAAAACUCUGUUAUUAGUGGAGAACAGAUUUGUAAGUAACUAUACACGUCUUGACGGUACCUGGUCAGAAAGCCACGGCUAACUACGUG
rnacentral:rRNA from 1 species